rnacentral:lncRNA from 1 species
ACUCCUUAAAUACAGACGUCCCAACGCAUGUACGUAAACGUAACCAUAACCAACCCUAAAGCUAACCCUAGCCCUAAAACUAACCCUGUAAAAACAUGUUGAACUGUAAAAACAUAUUGUUAGGUUGAUGCAUCGGGACCUCUGUAUUUAAGUAGUCUAAAAAAAUAUAUUUUGUAUUGUAGAAGUAUAACUUAUAGCACAUAAAAUUUAGCAUUUUAUAUGGACCAUCAAGGGCCAUAGGGACCCCGGUUGAUAGAGCAUUGCUUUCCACGGAGAAGGAGGCUAUAAUGAUAUUACAAAGAUUCCCUACCAGUAGAAAUACACUACCCGGCCAUUGAAGAAAAAACAAACGAUCUUGUUAUGAAAUUUAGCUUUGGCGUGACUGUGUGGUUUUGAAGCUUGCUUUGUCGUCUGGUGAUUUUGGUUUCGGUCCCAUUGCGAGACACCUUGAGCAAGGGUCAUCUGCUAUACCCUCGGACCGACCAAAGCCUUAUGAGUGGAUUCUACAGAUAGAAAUUGUGUGGAAGCCCGUCAUGGGUGCAUGUGUGUCCCCAUCGCCCGAUAAUCGUUGUUGGUAUCUUUAUGUACCUGUAACUUUGCGGUUCUGCAUAACAAAAAUAAAGAGCAGAAUUUUAGAAAAAAAAUAAGGGCGGAGGUAAAGAAUACGUACACCACCCUUUUUCGGCGUAACAAAAACCCUAACCCUAAAUCCCUAAACACUGGGUGUACGUAUUCUUUACUUUCGCCAAAAUAAGUAUUAUGGGUGAUUUUUUUUUUUUUUUUGUGGAAUAAAACCUUUCAUGGCGGUGCUCCAGUAUGGCUGCAGUCCAAUGACUGAAACAAGUGAAAGACAGAAAGAUAGUGUAAAUUUUACUCUUAAACGUUCGUCGGAUAAAAUGCCUCCAGGUACUUUUUCCUGUUCUUUAGGUUCUGAGUUCAAAUUCUGACUGUCAAUUUUGCUUUUUACUCCUCUUGUGAUUGGUAAAUGAGAUGCCAGUUUUUGCCUGUGGGAUCGAUAUAAUGAACUAAGCCUUCUCAACGAAAUUGAAGGCCUUGUCUUUGCCUUGUGAUACAAACGCUUAUUGUAGUCAGUUUAAAGUAGGGAUUCUCAACCAUUUUUUACCUAUGGACCCCCUUUGAUUGCUAUUUUAUACUGGUGGAUCCCCAUAGCUGUUCGAUGAUUAAAAAAAAAAACUUUUUUUAUUGAUAGUUCUUUCAAAAUUCCUAUUUAAGUUUUCACACGUUUACUUGUCAACGUUAGUAAGAAAAUAUUGAACCGUGUUAAGCGUUAGAGAAAGAAACCUAGCUGUUUCUUGCAAUUAACGCAUCUAAAGCAACAGUUUUUCAUGGACCCUUAGGAUAAUAAUACCGAUCCCCAAACUACUAUAUUGAAUAGUGGCUGUGUGGUAAGUAGCUUGCUUACUAACCACAUGGUUCCGGGUUCGGUCCCACUGCGUGGCACUUUGGGUAAGUGUCUUCUAUAGCCUCGGGCCAACCAAAGCCUUGUGAGUAGAUUUAGUCGACGGAAACUGAAAGAAGCCCAUCGUAUAUGUAUAUAUAUGUGUGUAUGUAUAUGUUUGUGUGUCUGUGUUUGUCCCCACAACAUCGCUUGACAACCAAUGCUGGUAUGUUUACGUCUCUGUAACUUAGCGGUUCGGCAAAAAGAGCCCGAUAGAAUAAGUACCGGGCUUACAAAAGAAUAAAUCGUGGGAUCGAUUUGCUCGACUAAAGGCGGUGCUCCAGCAUGGCCGCAGUCAAAUGACUGAAACAAGUAAAAGAGUAUAUGAAUAUAUGCAUUCAUAUAAUAAAAAUGUUCAAUACAAAUGUUUUUUGAUUGGUAUCAACUGACAGUUUCAGACUUGACGAAAUUUAGAAUAUUGCUUUGAUCUUUUCAGGUGGGGUUAUGAGAUAUAAUAACUGCCAGGUGUUCAGAUACCCUUUAUUGUUAACUAGCAGUAUCGCCCGGCGUUGCUCAGGUUUGUAAGGGAAAUAACUAUAAAGCAUUUUUAGAGAGUUAUAGCCAAAAAAUAGAAAAAAAUGAUGGUAAAUUUUUUUUUUAGUUAAAAAAGGUGGAGUUGCGUCCCCUAGACAGUUUGCGGUUUGUGUUUCUGAUUCUCGACCCCAUGUCGAAUUUAUCGAUUUUUUCAGAACUGGGGGAACUUUUCAAAAUUUUCGCUGCGUUAGUUUUGAAUUAUGACAUUGGGCUAUGUGUGUGUCAAGUUUCAUCAGAAUCGGUUGAAAGCCGUGGUCAGGGUGAGGGUACAAGCAAACAGACACACAGAAACACGCACAGACAAACUGCCGUUUAUAUAUAGAGAGAUUAUAAAUCACAUAAUCAUUUGCAGACCCUGUAUUUGUAUUAGAAAGCGUUUUUAUUAUUUGAUAGAAUGCUUAGUAGCGGGACCUACGAGAACGCUAACGUGUUGAUACAUCGUUCUCGGACGCGGGACGUAUCUGGGAUCUCAGAAAGCGUUUACAUGUACUUCGAGAGACUAGCAGUAGCACAUUUUAGGGGGUAGGAGAGAGGCGACAUUGUGUCCCCUAAUAAAAAUCUGCUUUUUAGCUACGUGGUUCUGGGUUCAGUCCCACUACGUGACACCGUGGGCAAGUUUCCUUCUAUAGCAUCGGACCGACCAAAACCCUGCGAAUGGAUUUGGCAGACGGAAAAUGAAAGAAGCUCGUCGUGUAAUAUAUAUAUAUAUAUAUAUAUAUAAUGUUUGUGUUCGUUUGUCGUCCUCCCCAACAGCUUGACAGCCGGUGUUGGUUUGUUUCCGUCGCUGUAACUUAGCGGUUCGGCAUUAAGAGACCGAUCGAAGCUACAAGACUUUAAAAAAAAAGGUCCGGGUGUUGAUUCAUUCGAUUCUUCAAGGCGAUGUUCCAGCAUGGCCGCAGUCUAAUGAGUAAAACAGAUAAAAGUUUAUACAUAUAUAUAUAUAUAUAUCGAGAGAGAGAGAGAGAGAGAGAAAGUUAAGGAAUGGAGUAGAUAAGAUCCGGAUUACAUAUGUUUUAUAGCGAGCGGAACUUCGGAAGUGGUAAAUAUCUAAGCGAAGUGUAUACAGCAGGCUAUUCGUCAGGCCAAGGAUAUCUCAUUACGUUUUAUGACGUCCUGUACCCAUAUAUGCGUACCUAUAUACAUAUAUGUAUGUAUAUUUGUGUGUAUAUAUAUAUAUAUAUGUGUGUGUGUGUAGUGUGUGUGUGUGUAUUAUGUGUGUGUGUGUGUGGAGGUGCGUGGCUUAAUGGUUAGGGUGUCAGCAUCAAGAUCGUAAGAUUGUGGUUUCGAUUCCUGGACCGGGCGAUGCGUUGUGUUCUUGAGCAAAACACUUCAUUUCACGUUGCUCCAGUCCACUCAGCUGGCAAAAAUGAGUAACGCUGCGAUGGACUGACGUCCCGUCCAGCUGGGGAACACAUACGCCAUUGAAACCGGCUAGGCUUUAAAAGGGCGCAUUUGUUAUUAUAUAUAUAUAUAUAUAUAUAUAUAAAGAAUUAUUACUGAUUGUUCGGGUACCUAAUAUAACACACAUACACAAAAAAGUAUAUACACACACAACAACACCUUAUCUAUCUUGUAAGUUUCUGUCACUUGCUUUGUAUUAAAUAACAAUAACGUUUUCUGUUACAAGCACUGACCCGCAUAUGAUUGUGUGAUUUAUAAUCAGCAAUAACAGGUACCCCAACACCUGGCCAUUAUUUAUUAUAUCUCUUUGCCCCACCUGAAAAGAUCAAAGGAAAAUUCUAAAUUUCGACAAACUAAAAACUUAAAAUAUAUAACCAUCAAUCAAAAAUAUAUUAGUAUUGUUUUAUACCUUUAUUUGUUUUAGUCAUUUGACUGCGGCUAUGCUGGAGCACCACUUUAAGGGAUUUUAGUCGAACAAAUCGACAUUCGGACUUAUUCUUUAUAAGUCUAGUACUUAUUUUAUUGGUCCCUUUUGCCGAACGGCUAAGUUACGUGAACGUUAAUACACCAACGUCGGUUGUCAAGCGAUUCGACAAACAUACACAAACACACAGUACAUACACACAGGCUUCAUUUCAGUUUCCGUCUACCAAAUCCACUCAUAAUGCUUCGGUCAGUUCGAGGCUAGAGUAGAAGACAUUUAUCUAAGGUGCCCUAACCUUAAAACUAACCGUAACCCUAAAACUAACCCUAGACCCUAAACUGACCCUAAACCCUAACCCUAACCAGUGUGCACUGUAAAAACAUCGUCACACCGAUGCGUUUGUGACCUCUGUAUUUAAGUAGUGCCAGUUGAUCACAUCAACCGAUUCUUAUAUUAUUGACCCCGAAAGGAUAAAUGCUAAAGCCGGCCGGGACUGAAUUUGAACUCAGAACGUAAAGACGGACGAAAUGCCGCCAAGCAUUUUAUUUUCCAUGUAAAACUUUAAUAUUCAAACCCAAAAGUAACUUUGUUCCUCUUUACUACAACACAUCUCCAAUUCUCUGAUUGGUUAAUAUUACUAGUGAAAGCACGGUAAGCACAGUUCCACGCUGUGAUUGGUUUUAUUUCUCUUAUGUUCUGAGUUCAAAUCGCAGCUGUGUCGAUGAAGUAUAUUAAACAUGCGCCUAGAUAUGGUGGAAUUCUUUAUUAAGGUUGUUCAUGAGGCAGAAAUGGUAAUACCGUAAUAAGUGUUGCAUGACAGGGAAACCAUAAACCUAUAUAUAUAUAUAUAUAUAUAUAUAUAUAUAUAUAUAUAUAUAUAUAAAAUCUUUUGUUUGUUGCUGUCAUUAGACUAUGGCCAUACUUGGGUACAGCCUUGAAGAAUUCUAGUCGGACGAAUUGAUCCCCGCAAUUUUUUUUUUAACUUUGGUACUUAUUUUGUCUUUAUUUUGCCGAUCCGCUAAGUUACGGGAAAGUAAACACACCAGCACCGGUUGUCAAUUGGUGUUGGGAAACACAUACACACACAUACAGACAUAGACACACAUACAUGCACACACUCAUUCACACGCACACAUGCACACACACACAUACGUGUACACACAUAGUGCACGCACAUCGAAACACACAUGCACACAUACGCACACGCUCACAUACACAUACAUAUACACAUACACACACACACAUAGAUAUAUACAAGCAUACGAUUACAUACACGCAUAUACAUACACGCAUAUACAUACACACAUACACAGCUAUAGACAUACAUGUGUGUGUGACUAUUACAUUGAACAAUGCGCCCUUUUCUCUUUUUCUUUCUAAGACGAUAGAAGAUUUGCUAUGAUUUAGCGUAACAGGUUCAAUUGCGAAGCAUUCUGAUGCAUUGUGUCUGUGUGUGCGAUACAGGUCCCAUUUCCGUUCGCUGUAUCAUUAAUUUUUCUAUCUCAUUUUAUUUAAACUCUUAAUGUUAAAACCAUAGAAAAAGCUUUGAGAUUCUCAACAAACUUUUCUUUUAAAAGUUCUGCAUUUAUACUAAACCAAACGCAACCAAAUUUUUGUUUCCAUUUCUUUGUUUUUGCUGUUGUGGCCCUCCAGAUCAAUCCUAAUCAAGCAAAUCUAUGAUCCAACCGUGACUGCCAUGUUUUGUUUUCUUCAUAGUGUAUUAAGAACGACGUUAUCCGGCAUUUCUCUUCAGGUUUUUUUCUUUUUUUUUCAUUUCAUCUAGUUUCAGCUCACGAGCUGUGGCCAUGCUGGGGCACCGCCAUAUUAUUUUUUUUAGAAAUAGUGUGUCAUUUGAGGGACAUUUGAUUGUUAUUUCUAAGAGAUCGGUCGUGCGAUCAUAAAGGAGAAACCUCGUUACAGUGAGAGAGUUGAUCUGAGAGAGCAGUGACAAGGGGCUGCGGGGACGGUUAUUGAGAUUGUGAGGCCUUCAUGCUUUUCUCAAGGCCAUUAGAACUGCAAUGUAACUUAGAAAUACUAUUCCUAAUAUUUCGAUAUACUAUAAGGCGGCGAGCUGGCAAAAUCGUUAGCACAACGGGCGAAAUGCGUAGCCGUAUUUCAUCUGCCGUUACGUUUUGAGUUCAAAUUCCGCCGAGGUCGACUUUGUCUUUCAUCCUUUCGGGGUCGAUAAAUUAAGUACCAGUUACGCACUAGGGUCAAUAUAAUCGACUUAAUCCGUUUCUCCCCUCUGUUUAGCCCGUUGUGGGCAAUAAAGAAAUAAGAAAUACUAUUCCGGUUGUCAGCUGAAUAUUUUCAUGCUCAUGUCACCCUUGGAAAAUGCCGCUGCCCCCCACUUUCCAUCCCCUCGUCAACUCCCCCUCUCCUCCCUUCAGUCAAUUUCAGAUUUCAGUUAUGUAGAAGAAACUUUGUGCAGCGCGGUGGUGAGGGUGAGUCGAACGCAGUCCAAUGGAUUACAUUGUUGUUUGUUGUCGUUUAACCCCCACCAAGUCAACCCUGAACGAACUGACUUUUGAUCAAAGGUAUUCCAAAUGUGACCUUCUCUAUUUCCCUAUGUGUAAGGAACCCUAGACCUCUAAUUUUUACCAUGGUCCCAUUGAGAUUUCAAGAUUUUACUCGCUAUUUAUAACAUGUAGAAGGGGAAACUAAACAACAUUGGAGGGUCCCUCGUUGACUCGUCCAAUGGCUGUCUUCUUACAUGCAUAGAGGCAUAACAACAUUUUGGUACCCAGUGGUUCUGACGUUACUCGCAAGAUCGCCAGAUGGCGGUUUCGAUUUCCGGACCGGGUGACACAUUGUAUUCUUGAACACAGCACUUCAUUUCAUGUUGCCCCGGUCCACUCAGAUGUAUUUAAAUGAGUUACCCUGCGACGGACUUGCGUCCCGUUCAGGCGGAUUGCGAGGCACUCAGUUACUUGUACGGGGUUGAAACCAGAUAACGGGCCCUAAGAGUCCUAUGACUCAAGACAGUAAUAUCCAGUGUUUCAUCCUGAUUGGACUGUGACCCGCUGGAGCACUGCAUUGAAGCGUUUACUCGAACAAAUCGAUCCCAGUAUUUUUUAAAGCUUGGUACUUAGUAGUUCGGUCUCUUUUACCGAGUUACUAAGUUACGGGUUCGUAAAGAAACUAACACUGGAUGUCAAGCGGUGGACGGACACACACACGCACACGCCCGCGUAGAUGUAUACGACGAGCGCAUUUCAGUUUCUAUCUACCAAAUCCACUCACAAGACUUUGGUUGGUCCGGCGCUAUGGUAGAACACACUUAGCUUAGUUGGGGGCCUAAACCGGGACCACGUAUUUGAGAAGCAAAUUUCUUACCAUACAACCAUGAACAUUUUCCAUGAACUUUCUCUCGCUCUUUCCUCCUGCAUUUUGCAGCUCACCUGUGACGGACCGGCGUCCCGUCUAGGUGGGGAAUCUAUACGCCAAGGAAACCGGGAAACCGGCCCUUAUGAGCUAGACAUGGCUCGAUAAGGAUCAAGCUUAUUCUAUCGGUGUCUUUUGCUGAAGUGCUACGUUACGGGGACGUAAACACACCACCAUUGGUUUGUGAAGCACUAGUGGGGGCAAAUAUAGGUACACACAUACACUUACAUACGUCGGGCUUCUUUCAGUUUCCGUCUUCCAAAUCCAAUCACAAAGCUUUAGUCGACCCGGAUCAAUAGUAGAAGAUACCCGCCCGAAGUUCUACGCAGAAGAACUGAACAUGGAACCAUGUAGUUGGAAAGCAAACUGCUUACCACACAGCCGCAACAGCACAUAUGCAUAUUCUUAAAUGUUAUAUUGUGCAGAGAGGUAGGAUUUCAGGAAUGUUGAUUACGUAACGUUGAUGUUUCUGGAAUAAAAAACAAAACAAAAAAAAGUGGGGAUGUUUGAGCUAGAGAAAUUAGCCAUAGCAAAGUUCGGGACGGUGAAAUGAAGAACGAUCCGAAAUUGUGCCAAACAUUUUUUCCUCCAAAUUUCAUGAUCUACGGCUUCUGUUUUUUACACUUUUUACUCUUUUACUUGUUUCAGUCAUUUGACUGCGGCCAUGCUGGACCACCGCCUUUAGUUGAGCAAAUCGACCCAGGACUUAUUCUUUGUAAGCCUAGUACUUAUUCUAUCGGUCUCUUUUGCCGAACCGCUAAGUUACGGAGACGUAAACACACCAGCAUCGGUUGUCAAGUGAUGUUGGGGAGACAAACACAGACACACACACACAUAUAUACAUAUACAUAUAUACGACGGGCUUCUUUCAGUUUCCGUCUACCAAAUCCACUCGCAAGGCUUUGGUCGGCCCGAGGUUGUAGUAGAAGACACUUGCCCAAGGUGCCACGCAGUGGGACUGAACCCGGAACCAUGUGCUUGGUAAGCAACCUACUUACCACACGGCCACACCUGCGAAAUUUUCUUUAAAAAUAUAUACGUUUCUUUAGAAAAUUACGAGGAAGUAAAUUUGGAAUGGUAACAAGCUAAAAUUAAAAGAAAAAGAAACAGUAAAUAUGUCUAUUUAAUUUCGAUUAAUUCCCAGUCCAGGUAUCGUGUGAUCGAAAUAAAAGUGAUCUUGUGUUCCAAGCCCGAAGUUUGUGUUUGUGUAUUGAUACAUAUUGCAUCUGUAUGUGUGUAGCUAGGUCCAUGCGCCUUUGUUUAUUGCUUGCGCGUUUAAGUCUGUAUUGUGUCUUUAUGUUCGUUUUUCUGUGUAUUUGUGAUGUACCGGGCGGUUUUAUCAGGGGCUUUAUGUUGGAGUCGUUCCUGCUGCAUCGCUUUGUUGCUGUUGCUGUUGUCAUUAUUAUGGCUGUUAAGGUGGCCGGCUGACAGAAUCGUUAGCAUGCCGGGCGAAAUGCUUAGCGGUAUUUCGUCUGCCGCUACGUUCUGAGUUCAAAUUCCGCCGAGGUCGACUUUGCCUUUCAUCCUUUUGGAGUCGAUUAAAUAAGUACCUGUUGCGCACUGGGGUCGAUGUAAUCGACUUAAUCCGUUUGUCUGUCCUCGUUUGUCCCCUCUGUGUUUAGCCCCUUGUGGGUAGUAAAGAAAUAGGUAUUUCGUCUGCCGCUACAUUCUGAGUUCAAAUUCUGCCGAAGUCGACUUUACCUUCCAUUCUCGCGGGGUCGAUUAAAUAAGUACCAGUUACGCACAGGGGUCGAUAUAAUCGACUUACCCCCCCCCCCCCGCCACAAAUUUCCCCCUUUGUGCCUAUAGUAGAAAGGAUUAUUAUUAUUAUUAUUAUUAUUAUUAUUAUUAGCAUUAUUAAGGCGGCGAGCUGACAGAAACGUUAUCUUGCCGAACAAAAUGUGUUGCGGUAUAUCGUCCGUCUUUACGUUCUAAGUUCAAAUUCCGCCCAGGUCAUCUUUGCCUUUCAUCCUUUCGUGGUCGCUAAUUUAAGUACCAAUUGACUUACCCCUCCCUCACAAUUGCUGGCCUUGUGCCAAAAUGUGAAAUCAUUAUUAUAAUUGUUGCUAAAGCGGCGAGCUGGCAGAAUCGUUAGCAUUCUGGGCAAAAUGCUUAGCGGCAUUUCGUCUGUCUCUAUGUUCUGAGCUCGAAUUCAACAGAGGUCGAUUUUCACUUUCAUCCUUUCAGGUUCGAUAAAAUAAGUACCAGCUGAACACAGGGGUCGAUGUAAUCGACUUACCCCGAAAUUUGCUGGCCCUGUGUCAAAGCCGACUUUGCCUCUGGUCCUUUCGAGGUCAAUAAAUUAAGUACCAGUAAAAUACUGGAAUCGAUGUAAUCGCCCAGUCACUCCGCCCCCGCCCCUCAAAAUUUGAGGCCUUUUGCCUCCAGUAGAAAAGAUUAUUAUGAUUGUUGUUUAAACGGUGAGCUGGUAGAUUCGUUAGCAUGCUGGACGUAAUGCUUAGCGGCAUUUCGCUCAUCGCUACGUUCUAAGUUCAAAUUCCGCCGAGGUUAACAUUCCCUUUCAUCUUUUCGGGGUCGAUAAAUUAAGUACCAGUGAAACUGGAGUCAAUGCAAUCAACUAGUCCCUUCCUUCCAAAUUUCAGGCCUUGUGCCUUUAGCUGAAAGGAUUAUUAUUAUUAUUGCCGUUGCUUUCUUUUUCCCUUUUCUUUUAUCGUUUGGUUAUUAGAAUUAUUUUAGCACCGGACAAAAUGCUUAGCGGCAUUUCUUCUGACUUUACGUUCUAGAUCAAAAUUCUGCCGAGGUCAACUUUAUCUUCCAUCCUUUCUGGGUCGAUACGUUCAGUACCAGUGGAGUACUGGGGGCCAAUGUAAUCGAUUUAUUCCUUCCACAAAACUUUCACACCUUCUUAUUGUAGAAAGUGUGUGUGUGUGUAUUAUACACACGCGAACACACAUUUUCUACAGGCAGUCUAGAAGUGUAUAUAUAUUUAUGGGAAAAAAAGUCACGAUAGAAAAUGCUAAAAUAAUUUUAUAAAAAACAUUUCAGUACUAGUUUCAAUCAUUGAAACUUUUUCAACUGUAUGGAAAACAAUUUUUUUAAAAGAAUGUUUUUAAAAAGAAUAUUUGUAUAGUGUUCAAAUACAAGUGGCAUUUUCCUUGUUUCUGCCUGUUUCUCCCUCUUGUUUACUCUUGUGGGUUCUUGUGUGUGUGUUUGUGUAUAUAUGUUCUUGUGUAUAUAUAUAUAUAUAUAUAUAUAUAUAUAUAUAUAUACACACACAUACAAGAGGUGUAUGAAAAGUUUUGAGCCUUCAAGGCCUUUGAAUCUUGAAGUCUUGUAUCUUCAUCAGAAUUCUUGUACCAUGUUUUGUUUUUUUGAGGCUCAAGUCUUUUCAUAGACAAACACGCGUACACACAUGUAAUACCGAUUUUCCGAACAAUAAUGCCCCAGAGCAUCUUAUAGUCCGCACUGUUGGCCUAGUUAACUACAAUUUCUGAUAUAACUCAUUCUGCCUACUUUGUGUGUGUGUUUGUUUGAGAGAGAGAGCGUGUACAUGCGUGCGUGUGCGCAGGGUUGUAAAAGUGUGAAUGCUUCGACGGUGUACUGUUUGUUACAAACUGAUCAUCGCCAUGAAAAUGUUACUAUGAGCUGUGAUUGUUUGCUUCUAAAUGGAACGUUUUCACUGGAAGCCAAAGCACUUGCUGGCUCUGAUAUAGAAACAUCAACCUCUGUGUGUGUGUGUCUGAGUAAUUUUAAAAGUAUAAUGGUUUUAGCUGUUUAUUAAUUCUUAUACGCUGGAUAUGUUAUGGAAUUGGUAUCGAAGCUAUGGAGUAGUUGUGAUUUUGCACUUUAGUAAUAUCCUUUCUAGCAUGAGCACAAGGCUUGAAACUUUAGAGUAGGGGUGCAAAUUGAUUACAUCGAACCCAAUGCUCUAUUAGUACAUAUUUUAUUGACCCUGAAGGGAUGAAAGUCAUUAUCGACCUCGGCGGAAUUUGAACUCAUACCGUAAAGACAGACGAAAUGCCGCUAAACAAUAUGUCGGGCGUGCUAACGAUUCUGCCAGCUCGCCACCUUAUAGAAUGGUAUUACAGGUUUUAAACUUCGGCACCCCAGUGUUCAACUGGUUCUUAUUUCAUCAAAUCCAGAAGGACGAAAUUUGAACUCAGACCAUAAAAACGGACGAAAUUCUGCGAAGCAUUUUGUCCGACGCGCUUACCGAUUCUGCCAGCUCGCCGCCUAAUACAACGGUAAUAUCGAUAUUACAUUACACAUUUCAAGGGUUUUCGAAGAAGUUCAUUUUGCAACUACGUGCUAUGAGGUUCGGUCCUACUGUGCGGCACCGUGGUUAAGUGUCUUCUACCAUAACCCAGGGCUAAAGUAGACUAAUGCUUUGUGAGUGAAUUUGGUAGUCAGAAACUGUAUGGAAUCCCGUCCAGUGUGUGUGUUUAAAUUUGUGUUGCUCUACCGCUUGACAACCAGUGUUGGUUCGUUUACAUCCCUGUGACAAAAGUCGUAUCAAACGUAAAAAAAAAAGAAAAAACUUAAAAGCUGUGUCCCGCCCUGGCCGCUGUCCAGUGACUGAAGCUUGUAAUUUUUUUAUUUAUGCGCCCUUUUCAAGCCUAGCCAGGCUCAUGGGCCCGGUUUCCCAGUUUCUAUGGCGUAUGUGUUCCCCACCCCCAGCUGGAUGGGACGCCAGUCCAUCGCAGCGUUACUCAUGAAACAGGAAGAAAGAGUGAUAGAAAGUUGGGGCGAAAGAGUACAACAGGGGUCGCCAGCACCCCCUGCCGGAGCCUCGUGGAGCUUUAGGUGUUUUCGCUCAAUAAACACACACAACGCUCGGUCUGGGAAUCGAAACCGCGAUCCUCCGACCGCGAGUCCGCUGCCCUAGCUACUGGGCCAUUGCGCCUCCGAAGCUUGUAAUAGAUAUAAAAUAUUUAUCAGUCUUGAUUAUAGAUGAUAUAGACACCUCAUCGAUUUUCCACCUGUUAGCAUCAUCUUUUAAUCAGCCAUAAUGUAUUUAGAACAACGUUAUCUUUUAUAUUUUUUAAAUAGCAUGUGGUUUGAUGGAAAUUUGACUGCUAUUUCUUGCAGGCUCUGUGACUGACCAUGUAGUGAUCCUCUUACUUCAGAGGUAUUUACUGAAAUGAUGUAUGCAUAAUGGGCACUUCCAAAAAUUAUGAAGGGACAAUGUUCUGUUGAAAGUUGUUGAAUAAUUUUAUUUUUACCUUCGUGGCUUAGUGGUUAGGGUACACGUCUCACGAUCGUAAGGUCGCAAGUUCGAUUCCUGGCGGCGCGUUUAUGCCCUUGAGUUUUACACUUUAUUUCACGUUGCUCCAGCUG